AACGCUGGCGGCAUGCCUUACACAUGCAAGUCGAACGGCAGCACGGGCUUCGGCCUGGUGGCGAGUGGCGAACGGGUGAGUAAUACAUCGGAACGUGCCCUGUCGUGGGGGAUAACUAGUCGAAAGAUUAGCUAAUACCGCAUACGACCUGAGGGUGAAAGCGGGGGACCGCAAGGCCUCGCGCGACAGGAGCGGCCGAUGUCUGAUUAGCUAGUUGGUGGGGUAAAAGCCUACCAAGGCGACGAUCAGUAGCUGGUCUGAGAGGACGAUCAGCCACACUGGGACUGAGACACGGCCCAGACUCCUACGGGAGGCAGCAGUGGGGAAUUUUGGACAAUGGGGGCAACCCUGAUCCAGCAAUGCCGCGUGUGUGAAGAAGGCCUUCGGGUUGUAAAGCACUUUUGUCCGGAAAGAAAGCCUCUGCCCUAAUACGGUGGGGGGAUGACGGUACCGGAAGAAUAAGCACCGGCUAACUACGUGCCAGCAGCCGCGGUAAUACGUAGGGUGCGAGCGUUAAUCGGAAUUACUGGGCGUAAAGCGUGCGCAGGCGGUUUGAUAAGACAGGCGUGAAAUCCCCGAGCUUAACUUGNGAAUG
rnacentral:rRNA from 1 species